GACGAACGCUGGCGGCGUGCCUAAUACAUGCAAGUUGAGCGCUGAAGGUUGGUACUUGUACCGACUGGAUGAGCAGCGAACGGGUGAGUAACGCGUGGGGAAUCUGCCUUUGAGCGGGGGACAACAUUUGGAAACGAAUGCUAAUACCGCAUAAAAACUUUAAACACAAGUUUUAAGUUUGAAAGAUGCAAUUGCAUCACUCAAAGAUGAUCCCGCGUUGUAUUAGCUAGUUGGUGAGGUAAAGGCUCACCAAGGCGAUGAUACAUAGCCGACCUGAGAGGGUGAUCGGCCACAUUGGGACUGAGACACGGCCCAAACUCCUACGGGAGGCAGCAGUAGGGAAUCUUCGGCAAUGGACGAAAGUCUGACCGAGCAACGCCGCGUGAGUGAAGAAGGUUGUCGGAUCGUAAAACUCUGUUGGUAGAGAAGAACGUUGGUGAGAGUAGAAAGCUCAUCAAGUGACGGUAACUACCCAGAAAGGGACGGCUAACUACGUG
rnacentral:rRNA from 1 species